CCACUCCUUGCCCUUUCCGCCUAUAUACCGCCGUCGCAAGCUUACCCUGUGAAGGUGAAGAAGUAAGCAAAGUGGGAACUCUCCCAAAACGUCAGGUCGAGGUGUAGCAUACGAAGUGGGAAGAAAUGGGCUACAUUGCCUGAUUCAGGCCACUCACGGAAAGUCACCUGAAAUGGUAACUCAAAGGCGGAUUUAGCAGUAAAAGAGGAAUAGAGUGCCUCCUUGAAGCCGGCUCUGAGACGCGCACACACCGCCCGUCACUCUCCCCAACAACUACUACAUUUAAGUAAAUAACACCAUAAACAAAAUAAAGGGGAGGCAAGUCGUAACAUGGUAAGUGUACCGGAAGGUGCACUUGGAGUAA
rnacentral:rRNA from 1 species